CUCUUAUUUAAGGAUCAGGGCGACCCCAACUCCAUCGUCCUCUUCGGUGGCCAUCUCCUAGGGUUUGGAAUUUCCCCUUCUCUGUUGAGUUGCUUUGGUGUCAAAUGGACCUACCGACAAUUUCUCAGUCAAUGUCUGCCGUUUCGGCGGUUUUGGUUUUUUUUUUUUUUGGUUUUCCGGAAAGGUGGGGAAGCGAUGUGGUAGAUGAUGAACGUUUAUAUCUUAUUCUACACUCAGAUUGAUCAGUGUUGACUACAAACUCCGCUUAUUACCUGAUGCCAUGGAGCUUCCCUCCAAUCAUUCAAAUCGUCGUCGGAAGUUGUCGUUUUGAAACGCUUUCAAUUGGUUUUUGUUUCCGUAGAAAUGUUUUGAGAUGAAGCACUAAUUCGGUGAUGAAAAAAGCAGACGGGCGGACAGAAUCUGAUGCCGUGUUGAUUGUCUGUGUGUUCCACUUCUGUGGAACCUUGUCUGAGUCUCAUGUGCCUCUCUCUCUUGAUAUAUCUAUUUAUGCUUUCUGUUUAGUACGAGGUGAUGGAUUUUUGAAUUGGUCCGAUUCGGUCUCCUCUGCAGUUCUUCAUUCCUAAUGCGAGCUUUGUGCCCUUUUGUUUCUGACAUUGUUUUCCAAUCCUUUCCGUUCUUCAUCAUGAAAUGAAACCUUGACAUUCGCCUUGCUUUGCUGUGAUGAAGAUGCUGAAAUUUAUGUCUGGACGUAUGAGUUGUCUAUGAUCUGAUAUGCACCUUCUGAGCAUAGCAAUGGAACCUCAACCCGAAUUCUACCUUUCCUAACAUCAGAGGAUAAUGUGUCAACAGCAAGUUAAGUGGUGACUUUUGAGCAUGUGUUAAUUCACUGAUCGUGCUAUUUCCUUUACGAGUAAGCAAAUGCUAUCAAGAUUCAUGCGCAGCUUCUUUCAAAAAUUGGAAUCUAUGUCAAUUUCUAGAAAAGUUUAUAUGAAUUCUCUAGAUUUAUAGAUUUUCAUAUUUGGUUGGGCCUUGACAAUUCACGUUCCUUAUGCGUAUAAUCACACUAGAAUAAUGCAGAUUAUUAUACUAGAAUAAUGCAGAUUACCACCGGGUGGGACGGGAACAGGGAUUCCUUUUUGUUUUGACAAGUAGUAAGAUAAGAUUCCUAAUGUUAAUUGAGACACCUGACUUGGAAUUGUUUUUAACUGAUAAUUGAAUUGUUUCAAUGUUGGACAAACCGUCAACUUUGGACCGAUACGGUUAGUUUUACUAAUGUAGCAUAUCCGACUUUUUGUCUAGUUCCAUUCAUAAAGCGUUAUAUCAUUAAUAAAUGAAUAAAUAUAUAUAUAUAUAUAUAAUUGAAAAUAAAUUAACUUAUUUUUUGAAAAUUUAGAAAACCAAUCCCUCAAAUUAAUGUCCCACCGUACUCAAAUCAAAAUAGGAUAAUGAAAUUUAAAGAAAAAUGAUGUUGCGUCUUGUAGCAUGGGUUAGACGGGGAUGGAGGCCACCGCGCCGGUCACCCACUCAUUGACAGAGGUCUUAGCGUAAGAUCCUAGCCCAUCAGCCACUCGAUUGGGGGGUGGGUGGCCGCCGAAAGGGCCACGACACCUCGAUUCAAGGAUCUCAGCACCAAAAGAGAAAACAAAUAAAUAAAUUCCAUAGAGUUGGAGAUGGGGUUUGGUGCUUACAGCUGCCAUCUUUGAACGGAGGUCGCGGAUGGGUUGUAAUACCUUUUGGUUUUCGAUAUAUUUAGGGAACAAAAUUUAAAUUUUCUUUUUUAAAAUUAAUAUCGGUUGAAAUUAUUUUUCAAAAAAAUAAAAAUUCACCCAGCUGACAUUAGUAGUUACUUAAGUUUAUCAUUCUCCGGUCCAAAAAAAAAGGGGGGAAAUUACUGUCGAAGUCCUAAAAGUUCUUAUUUUUUGUCCAUCGAGUCCUAUGUGUUUAUUUUGACAAAGUCAAUCCUAUAAUGUAUGGUUUGUUGUACACUUUUAGUCCAUAUCGUAACCGAGCACGGGAAUGAUGUGACCACUAACACCAUUAAAUAUUUUUCACUUGUUACAUAUAAAAUAAUAGAAAAGGAUUUUAUAAAACAGGAAAAAAAAAAAAAAGAAGAAGUCCUAGCCCUUUCUCAAGUUCCGUGCUUCCUUGUCGUGGGGGGGCUCGCCUGCUGCCCCCAUCCCCUUGGGAUGAGGUCUUCCGCGUUCUCUCAAGGUGCCCACUGCCUCAUCCCGAGGGGUGGGAGCCGCCACUUGGAGAAAUCACCCAAUUCGAUGGGGAGUUGGGUUUUAUUAUUGAUUUUUUUUUUAUUUGCUCAAAGUUGCAGAGGGAGACGGGGAAGGAUUAAAGGAAGAAGGUGAAUAGGGCAAGGGCUUCUUGGGGAAAGGAUGGGGAUGACUAUGGCGGGUCGUCCUCUCUUGGACGAGGACGAAAUGGAAAACCCCAAUUCUUGGUGGCAUUGACAUCAACUUAUGACUGCUUCUGACAUUGAAAUACUUUUACAAGCUAAUACCAUCGAAUUUUUUUUUUAUUUAGCAAAAAAUAAAAGCAUUAGAUCUGGCUUGUGGCCCUUCAGAAAAUUGAAGCAAUAGAUCUGCUAUGAAGCAAUCUAUUGAAGAACUUGAAAAAUGCCAAAAAUUGACAAGCUAGUUCCCCAAUCGGUAAAAUUUUGCAGGCAAUGAAGAGAAGAAAGGGAGCUCCCAUGCCCAAAUGGGAUAUGCAGGCGGAAGCUAAAGCGAAGGAUGUGAAAUUGUAUGCAAAUGGGAGAGGAUGUGGGGGUUGGCUGCCACGCCGGUGACCACAACCCCUUCAAUGAGGUCGCUGACUUCCAUUGAGGCUUUCGGCAACCUCGCCGAUAGGGCUGUUAGCUGUGGGCAAAGUCAUUAGUCCCUCCCUGCUGAGAGCCUCGCUGGAUUCUCCAUCGGGGAUCUUUAUCGUUUUCUUUUUUUUUAUAAUUUUUAUAAUUUUUUAUUUGCCUAAAUAAUGCCACAUCAGAAGAGAGUGCCAUGAGGAGCAUGCCACAUCAAUAAUUAAUGACUGUUAUGUUUUAUGUCAUCGUUCGUUACAGCUUGGUUACGAGUUGGACUGGAGGUGUAUAACAAAUUAUAUGUUAUAUGAGUGAUUUAUUCAAGACAAAACAUAUAAGAGUGUUUGGAUUUA